GUCCGUUCAUUCCGCAAGGAACGCAUGACGGUCUACCAUGGAACGGGGGUAGACU
rfam:Marine metagenome 1096626048334, whole genome shotgun sequence.